UCUAGUAUUAGCGCCAGUGUUUCAAGUCCCCGUUGAGUUCUACUAUCCUGCAAAGAUAUUAAGAGGCUAAAAGUGAAAAAGAAACCUUCUUUAACAACGAAACACAAAGUAGGAUGUUUACGCUUUGCAAAAGAAAGAAUGCAUUGGAAAAUGAAAUGGAGAAGGGUACUAUUUUCAGACGAAAAAAGAUUCAACUUGGAUGGGCCUGAUGGGUUCCAAUAUUAUUUUCAUGACAUAAGAAAAGAGACAAGAAUUCGACGACAAAUAGGAGGAGGCAGCGUGAUGGUUUGGGCCAGCAUUGACAAGUAUCAAGUUUAUCAAUGGGAGAAUGAAUAAUGUUCGAUACAUAAAUUUAAUCAAAGAACAAAUAAAUAAUCACGUAGAACGCAUUUCUGGAUCUGAUUACAUCUUUUAACAAGAUAAUGCAUCUGUACACACAUCAGGAUUGGUCUAAUCAUAUUUUAAUAAAAAUAAUAUAACUAUUUUGCCAUGGGCAGAACUUAUUCAUGACGUACGCACGAAUGGAAAGUAGUAUCACACGUACAAGAAUUUGAGGUGAUUGGUACCGCUCGUGUAUAAGAUUUAUAUCUUCAUCUGGGUUGGCGAAUGUUCUUCUAACCAUGCGGAUCGCUCCCUUCCUCUCUUCUAGAAAUCGCCAAAAAUAGGACAAUGAAUACCACAAUUCGAACCUGGGUCUGGAAUGUUCGUAAUCAACUACGCUAACCACAGCGUUGCUGUCGUCCCUCCAUAGGAUAGGGUCUUUAUGUAGCUAGUCACGGGACAGAAAACGUUAGAAAGUUUGCUGUCAAGUGCCGUUACGAAUUAAAAAAAUUCAGUUGUACGCGAAUGGAGGAUACGUUAAGUAAAAAUUAUAUCCAGAAACUAUAUAAAUCGAUAUUAAAUCGUACAAUAGAAGUAAUAGAAAAUAAAGAGGGAUGUGUCCAUUAUUAAAUAAGUAUAUAUGUUUGAUAAAUAAUUAUUGUUAGUUACAAUUUAUGUUGAUUAUUAUUUUCUUAUUGUACAUGUGCUAUCAUCUCGCUCUUAAAAUAAAACAAUUUUUUUUUUUGUUAAACACUGAACCUCAUAAUAUUUGUAAUUAUUUUCAACGAACCGCAUAUUUUGAGCUCGUAAUGUUUUGAUACUAUACGUCACAGGCGAAAAACUUUUUCUGACUCCGAGGAUGAAGGGACGAGCAUUCCAAGCACAUCCCAAAAUGUAAUGGGUGAAAUUAAAAUUGCAAUUGACGGGACAUAGUGGAUAAAACUGAAAGCAGGCGGAUCUAGAGACACGUGAUGAAACACAUAAAAUAUUACACUGAAACAGAGGCAUAUCGAAUUUUGGAAGAAGACUGGACAAUCAUAGUUGCUGAGUUAUGUAGUUUUUUAGGAAUUAUAUACGCCUGGGGCACAUAUGAAGCGAGAUCAUCAAACUUCCGAAAAAUUAUAUAAAUUUAUUUACAUAAAUUUACACUGGAAUUAUGUAAAGAUAUUAUGAAAACAAGGUGAACAUUUGUCAGAGAUCAAACAUUCAUUUCAUUUCAAUUUCUAUCUCUCCAUUUCAACGUUAGAAGUGCGAAAAAGUUGCCAAAGUGGGCAACUGCAGAAAAAAGAAGCAAUAAUUGUUGUAUAUAUUGCAAAAAGAUCGUAUGGGGAAAAUGUACAAACAAAAUACCGUUAAUAUUAUUGUUAUC